UACGUAGGGUGCGAGCGUUGUCCGGAAUUAUUGGGCGUAAAGAGCUUGUAGGCGGUUUGUCGCGUCUGCUGUGAAAAUCCGGGGCUCAACCCCGGACUUGCAGUGGGUACGGGCAGACUAGAGUGUGGUAGGGGAGACUGGAAUUCCUGGUGUAGCGGUGGAAUGCGCAGAUAUCAGGAAGAACACCCGUGGCGAAAGCGGCUCUCUGGAACGGUACUGACGCUGAGACGCGAAAGCGUGGGGAGCGAACAGG
rnacentral:rRNA from 1 species